rnacentral:rRNA from 1 species
AAUGAACGCUGGCGGCAGGCCUAACACAUGCAAGUCGAACGAGAGGCGGACGGGUGAGUAAGGUCUGGGAACCUGCCUGAUGGAGGGGGAUAACAACUGGAAACGGUAGCUAAUACCGCAUUCCAUCGGAUAUGCCCAGAUGGGAUUCUCUCGUAGGGGGGGUAAAGGCUCACCUAGGCGGCGAUCCCUAGCUGGUCUGAGAGGAUGACCACCCACGCUGGAACGUGGGCGCGGUCCGGCAUCCUGCGGGAGGCAGAAGUCGCGAAUGUUGCACAGUGGGCGCAAGCCUGAAGCAUCCAUGACGCGUGAAUGAAGAAGGCCUUCGGGUUGUAAAAUACUGUCAGCCGUGGGGCGUUACCCGCAGAAGAAGCACCGGCUAAUUCCGUGCCAGCAGCCGCGGUAAUAC